GACGAACGCUGGCGGCGUGCUUAACACAUGCAAGUCGAACGGAAAGGCCCUGCUUUUGUGGGGUGCUCGAGUGGCGAACGGGUGAGUAACACGUGAGUAACCUGCCCUUGACUUUGGGAUAACUUCAGGAAACUGGGGCUAAUACCGGAUAGGAGCUCCUGCUGCAUGGUGGGGGUUGGAAAGUUUCGGCGGUUGGGGAUGGACUCGCGGCUUAUCAGCUUGUUGGUGGGGUAGUGGCUUACCAAGGCUUUGACGGGUCGCCGGCCUGAGAGGGUGACCGGCCACAUUGGGACUGAGAUACGGCCCAGACUCCUACGGGAGGCAGCAGUGGGGAAUAUUGCACAAUGGGCGGAAGCCUGAUGCAGCAACGCCGCGUGCGGGAUGACGGCCCUCGGGUUGUAAACCGCUUUCGCCUGUGACGAAGCGUGAGUGACGGUAAUGGGUAAAGAAGCACCGGCUAACUACGUG
rnacentral:rRNA from 1 species